rnacentral:rRNA from 1 species
GAUGAACGCUGGCGGCGUGCCUAAUACAUGCAAGUCGAGCGAACGGACGAGAAGCUUGCUUCUCUGAUGUUAGCGGCGGACGGGUGAGUAACACGUGGAUAACCUACCUAUAAGACUGGGAUAACUUCGGGAAACCGGAGCUAAUACCGGAUGAUAUUUUGAACCGCAUGGUUCAAAAGUGAAAGACGGUCUUGCUGUCACUUAUAGAUGGAUCCGCGCUGCAUUAGCUAGUUGGUAAGGUAACGGCUUACCAAGGCAACGAUGCAUAGCCGACCUGAGAGGGUGAUCGGCCACACUAGAACUGAGACACGGUCCAGACUCCUACGGGAGGCAGCAGUAGGGAAUCUUCCGCAAUGGGCGAAAGCCUGACGGAGCAACGCCGCGUGAGUGAUGAAGGUCUUCGGAUCGUAAAACUCUGUUAUUAGGGAAGAACAUAUGUGUAAGUAACUGUGCACAUCUUGACGGUACCUAAUCAGAAAGCCACGGCUAACUACGUG